UAGCUAAAUGCGGAAGAGAUAAGUGCUGAAAGCAUCUAAGCACGAAACUUGCCCCGAGAUGAGUUCUCCCUGAGACUUUAAGUCUCCUGAAGGAACGUUGAAGACGAUGACGUUGAUAGGCCGGGUGUGUAAGCGCAGCGAUGCGUUGAGCUAACCGGUACUAAUGAACCGUGAGGCUUAACCUUACAACGCCGAAG
rnacentral:rRNA from 2 species